UGCUGCUGCUGCAGAGGAAGUAAGGAGGGGUUGUCAAAUCCACAGCCAAGCCUCUAGGCAGCAUCCUGACUCCAGGGGGAGGUGCUGGGAAGCUGGGGAGGGGCAGCCACGUGCCAGCUGGCUGUGCCAAGUGAGGGAGCCACAUGCCUGGGGUUCUGCCAUGUGUUUGUUUAUUUGGUUUGGCUGAUGUAAAACAUACACACACAGACUCACAGCCUUAGGGCCUGUUUGCAGAGCCCAUGUUUAAUCCUCAACUAAAAUCAGGAACAGCGCAGGAAAAAAGAAGGAAGCCAAAAUAGCAGAAUACAACUAGGUAGCAGAGUUUGUUCACUCAUUCAUUAAUUUAUUCACUCACUCAUUUAGCAAAUGAAUACCAGGCACUACGCAAGGCACUGGGGCAAUAACGUGAAUACGUUUCCCUAAGGAGCUCCAAGACAGGGUCUGGGAACAGAAACAAGGGAAGAGGUCAUUUUAGUACAAAGUGAAAGGUGCAUGAUACAGAUUUACAGCACAGCUCUGAUCUGGUCAUUUCCUGGCUCAAAAUCCGACAGGGGCUCCCCUCAUAUCUAAGCAGGCUUUCAUAGGCCCAAUAAUCACACCCUUAAACCUUCACCCAUGCUCCAAGUUCAGGGGAAUUCAAGCAGCUCCAGGAUCAUGCUGCCUCUCACAUCUCCUGACCUGCUCACACUCUGUUUCUCCUGCUUGUUAGGGCCUUCUUUCUUCUGUUCUUUGUUGCUUCCCACUCAGCCUUGAAAGUCAAGUGUCAUCAUCUCCUGGUGACCAUCCUCUGGGUCCUCACUACAUGCCCUGUGCCUUUAUUGCUGGCACUGCUCAACUGCUACUUUCACCUGCCCAUCUCCCCUGUGGCCUGUGAGCAACUCCAGCAGAGAUGGAUCUUGUCCACAUCUGUAUCCUGGCAGCUAAUCGAUGCCUGGCACAGAAACACUCUUAAUAAAUGCCUGUCCAAUUGAAUGGACAUAAUUUAGUGCUACUAUGGAUAGCCUCAAUGUGCCAUAAUUAAAAUACACUUGGAUUCUGGAGUCAAACCCUGAGCUCUGUCACCUCCACCUUAUCAUUUCCUUCUCUGAGCCUGUUUUCUUAUUCUUCAGCUUAAGCUGAUAAUAUUUCUGAGUGUCUUAUAUGAAAAUGCUUUCUUUGGUAUUUGUUCACCUUUCUUUCUUUAAUGUGAUAGACAUGGAGCAUUUAUUUAUUACUUUUAUGAUUAUCCUCCUAAGAAAAAGACAAGGCCCUGCUCUGAGGAGUGAAGACACAAUCCAGCAGGCAGGAGGGAUGGCUAAGUUCAAAGUCUUGAGAAGUGCCCCUCAUGGACACCCCAGGGUGCCCAUCUCCAGGUUACCACCAGGUGCUUCCAAGACCAAGAUAACCAGGCAAUCAUAGUAGAUGCAUCAAUGCACCCUUGCCCAAGGGCCUAGACAAGAGGAGGAAGGAAAGGAGGAGCACGUGCACAAAGCUAAGGAGGUGAUUAACAACAUGAUACAGUAUUGUUUAGCUUCGCAUGAAUUUUAUCACCUUGCCUAGAACCAGCCACCAUCUGCCAGGGCUCCUGACUUUUUCUGAAAUGAAUAGACACUAAAGCCUGCUGGGGAAUUUCAUGGAAAUCAAGAUGACUCAACCCAGAGUCCAUUUCAAGGCUAGGAUGCUAGAGGACGCCAACAAAGGAGUAGGGAAGUGAAACGGAUCAGCUCACAUCCAAGCCCUUGCAUGAUCAAUCCUGCAGUAGGAGUGCUGCUCAGUUGGGACUCAUGAGAGCCCGGAAGAGGAAAAAGCAGCUCUAAGCAUAGCAAAGAAGCUGUUAUGGAAAAGACCCAAAUGUUAAAAUGGUGGACAUAGUAAAGUGAUUGGUUCUGCUUAGGGGAAUCUAGAUCCCCACAUUUUGACCUCCACUGGAGUCUCAGAAGAACAAGUGCCAGGGGGGCUUGCCACAGAGGCCAAGGCAGUGAAUGUCAGGCACAUCACAGUCCCCAAGAUGGGGAGAAGACUGAGAUGCAGGGUAACAACUGCAAUCCAUUCAUGGGAGCCAUGUUUAUCUUAAAUCAUUGACAGUGAGAUAAGGAUCAUGUCAGCCUUCAUACCUUUGAUGAUGAUCCCAGGCUGCAACAGUGACACAUAGAACUGGAUUCAGUAACUAACUACAGAUUCCAUCAACCAGGACUAGUAAAGUGAAAGGCAGAAAUUGGGAGGAGGGGUUUCUUUCUUGCUUAUAAAACUUUAUUUGGUUGUGUUGAGUAUGUGCAUGUAUGUAUGAAAUCCCAUAAAGCAGUCUUCUUAGGAACAAGCCAACAUGCCACAAUGUAGGAGAUCUUUGGAGCACUGGCCUAAAUGGCAGAGAGCUCAAGGGACUCUGCUUUGUACAAGGCAUGAUUUGUACCACCACCACUAUCCCUGUUUCAGAGCACUGUUGAAUUGUUCCAAACCUGGAUUUCUAUGUCAGCUCCCUGUCUAUAGUACUUGACUGAUAAAUGCUAGUUUCUGAAA